rnacentral:rRNA from 1 species
AUUGAACGCUGGCGGCAUGCUUUACACAUGCAAGUCGAACGGUAACAGGCCUUCGGGUGCUGACGAGUGGCGAACGGGUGAGUAAUGCAUCGGAACGUGCCCAGAGGUGGGGGAUAACGCAGCGAAAGCUGUGCUAAUACCGCAUGUGAUCUGAGGAUGAAAGCGGGGGACCAGGCAGCAAUGUUUGGCCUCGCGCCUUUGGAGCGGCCGAUGUCAGAUUAGGUAGUUGGUGGGGUAAAGGCCUACCAAGCCGACGAUCUGUAGCUGGUCUGAGAGGACGACCAGCCACACUGGGACUGAGACACGGCCCAGACUCCUACGGGAGGCAGCAGUGGGGAAUUUUGGACAAUGGGCGCAAGCCUGAUCCAGCAAUGCCGCGUGCGGGAAGAAGGCCCUCGGGUUGUAAACCGCUUUUGUACGGAACGAAAAGGCUCUGGCUAAUACCUGGGGCUGAUGACGGUACCGUAAGAAUAAGCACCGGCUAACUACGUG